GCCGUUGAAAUCCCGCACCAGCCCCCCUAUAUCUUCCCUGUCGGGCAACCGACUAUGGACAUAAACGCGCUCGUAAUAAGCGGAUCGGACCCGGGGGCGGUACCCGGCGGCUCCACCAAACUCUUUCCGGCGGCAACCUUCGUUUGGGGCUGCAUUCGGAACCGGGGGGCCGAAAUAGGAUCGACGGACGUCUAAAGGGGUUUGCUUUGUCUCGGUGAGAUACCACCGUUAUCGGUUCAACAAGUACAAUUGCAAACGACAAUCGUGCUCCGGUUGCUCUGGCUGCGUAAGCAGUUCGAGGAAUCGAAAUCUAAGUCCUUGCGCCUAGCAGUGUAAGGCGGGGUUCGCAGGUACCUGGCAACAGAAACCUGCACU
rnacentral:tmRNA from 1 species